rnacentral:tRNA from 1 species
GUCUUCGUGGCGCAACUGGUUAGCGCGUUCGACUGUUAAUCGAGAGGUUGACAGUUCAAUCCUGUCCGAGGACG